GUCAAUCUGGAUUCUGAAACUAAGCUGCAAUCAUGCAUCGAGAAACAACCAAGAUUAUUGAUCUUGUAAAGGUGUUUGAUAUUGUUUGUUUAUUAGCUAUUUGCAUUUUUGGGCAUUUGAAAGUUAUUAUGUGUUGCGAAUUUUGCUGUCGUAUUUACUUAGUCAAUAUGAGUAAACAAGUAAAGGGCUGUUGUGUACCAGGAUGCACGAAUAAGCAAGCGAAAAGCUUGCAGGAUGUCCGAAAGUAUGUUCUACCUUCUUAGAUCACUAGUAACAGUUUUCCAGUCAUUGGAUAGGAAUAGUUUAAUUUGGAAACAGAUUUUUGGAAAGUUUUAUCAAAAGAACAAAAGGAACUCUUGAGGAUCUUGUUGAAAAUAUAUGAUGUAUGAAUGUGUAUUAAUUUGACUUGUAAAUUGAAUACAUCAUACAAAGUCUAAGUAAUUUGGAAAUUACAAACAUUGGCUUCAAUUUUUAACUUCGAUAGAAACAGGAAAGCUGGCUGAAACUGUAAUCUUAGAACCAAGUUGUUUCAAUCAAACAAUUGACAUAACCAUUUAUGGAGACGUAG